rnacentral:rRNA from 1 species
UACGGAGGGGACUAGCGUUGUUCGGAAUUACUGGGCGUAAAGCGCACGUAGGCGGAUUUGUAAGUCAGGGGUGAAAUCCCGGGGCUCAACCUCGGAACUGCCCUCGAUACUGCAAAUCUCGAGUCCGAGAGAGGUGAGUGGAAUUCCUAGUGUAGAGGUGAAAUUCGUAGAUAUUAGGAAGAACACCAGUGGCGAAGGCGGCUCACUGGCUCGGUACUGACGCUGAGGCGCGAAAGCGUGGGAGCAACAGG